GGUCGUUUAGCUCAGCUGGGAGAGCACCUCCUUAGCAAGGAGGGGGUCAGCUGGUUCAUCCCAGUAACGACCG
rnacentral:tRNA from 1 species